rnacentral:rRNA from 1 species
CACGUAGGGUGCAAGCGUUGUCCGGAAUUAUUGGGCGUAAAGAGCUCGUAGGUGGUUUGUUACGUCUGCUGUGAAAUCCUAGGGCUUAACCCUGGGCUUGCAGUGGAUACGGGCAGACUAGAGGUAGGUAUGGGAGAAUGGAACUCCUGGUGUAGCGGUGGAAUGCGCAGAUAUCAGGAAGAACACCGGUGGCGAAGGCGGCUCUCUGGGCCUUACCUGACGCUGAGGAGCGAAAGCGUGGGUAGCGAACAGG